GUACACGCUGUGACUAGCAUAUCAAUAAGCGGAGGAAAAGAAACUAACAAGGAUUCCCCUAGUAACGGCGAGUGAAGCGGGAAGAGCUCAAAUUUGAAAUCUUAAAGGGUUUCCCUUUACGAAUUGUAGUUUAAAGAAGUGUUUUCUGUUGAGGUUUUGGUAAAAGUUCUUUGGAAUAGGACAUCAUAGAGGGUGAGAAUCCCGUAUUUGACCUUUACUUUCAACUUUGUGAUGCACUUUCAAAGAGUCGGAUUGUUUGGGAAUGCAGUCCAAAAUGGGUGGUAAAUUUCAUCUAAAGCUAAAUAUUGGCGAGAGACCGAUAGCGAACAAGUACCGUGAGGGAAAGAUGAAAAGAACUUUGAAAAGAGAGUUAAACAGUACGUGAAAUUGUCAAAAGGGAAGCGUUUGACACCAGCGUUGUUUUUCUGAAAAUCAAUUAAAGAACUGUUUAUGCUAAGUUGUUUAGACUUUAUCAGCUAUCUGCUUAGUUUUGAGCUUUUCUUUAAUGCACUUUUCAGUUAACAAGUCAACAUCAAUUUCUUUUGCUGUAAAAAAGCUUGAGGAAGGUGGCUUGAGAUUCGUCUUAAGUGUUUAUAGCCUCUUGCCUAUGCAGUCGGAGAGAUUGAGGUCUGCAGCGUAGAUCCUUCGGGGCUAAAUGCAUUUGUGCUAAGUUAUAACAUUUCAUAGACAACUUGUUGACUAUGAUUUGUCUUGUAGCUUACUCGCUUAUGUUAUUUUACCUACGCUUAGGAUGUUGACGAGACUGUCGAUCUC
rnacentral:rRNA from 1 species